rnacentral:rRNA from 1 species
UACGUAGGUCCCGAGCGUUGUCCGGAUUUAUUGGGCGUAAAGCGAGCGCAGGUGGUUUAUUAAGUCUGGUGUAAAAGGCAGUGGCUCAACCAUUGUAUGCAUUGGAAACUGGUAGACUUGAGUGCAGGAGAGGAGAGUUGAAUUCCAUGUGUAGCGGUGAAAUGCGUAGAUAUAUGGAGGAACACCGGUGGCGAAAGCGGCUCUCUGGCCUGUAACUGACACUGAGGCUCGAAAGCGUGGGGAGCAAACAGG